UUACCUGGACGGGGUCCAUGGGUGAUCUGGAAGGCCCACGGCCUGGGCCCGCGGCCUCCAUUGCACUUGGGAGGAGCGCUGGUCUACCAUCUCCCCAAGUGGGAGAGUGGACGUCAUAAUUUGUGGCAGCGGGGGUACGCGUUCGCGCGGCCCCCACCCAAUCCAAUUCCUAAGGUUAUUAUUCUUUGUUUAUUUAGGUAAUCAAUUUCUUAGUAGGCGUUUGUUCUUAAUGUCAUUUGCUAGGCCUGGCCCAAGUUUAUUUCUGCCGGAGAGGCCUCAAAGGCAGCCUUAGCAUGAUCUAAGGUUUGUGAUGUAGCUGUAACUCUCAUGAACCCAAUGGAGAUGGAGAGUCAAGAAAGGAUGGCUAGCAACAAAGAAGUCGGAGCUGUGAGGAAACUUUGCUGCAAUCUAAUCCAUUAGCAAUGUCGAGGUAUUGUUUUGCUUGGAAACCAUGUUGCUUAGAUGCAUUCAUCUCACCUCCUCCUUGAAAUUAAGCUGAUGGAUUUCCUCGCAUCUCUCUCAGUGUAAUAAAAUAACAACAAAAUAGAACUAGAAGGAUACUUGCAUGCUUUGAAUUUAUUGUAAAGAAGGUUACAUUUGCAACCUGUUGUUAUAUUGUGGCGCAAGAGUUUGAACAUGUGCAAUGCAUGUGGAGGAGAGACACAUCAUGAAGAUACAUUCGAAACCUUCGCAAGGUGUAUUAUAGAGGCUAACAACAUCUUUCUAGAAGGAGACUCAGCGAUGGUGGUCGAGUGGAUUUAGAAUAAGAAGUGAAGGGGAGAUGACCGCCCACUGCUCAAGGAUAUCUGCAGGAUAGCAAGACAUUGACUCAUUUCAGGUUGCUCAUGUGUAUCAAGAGACGAAUAUGGUUGCAGACUGGGUCGCCUCUUUCGCUGCUUACCACUCAGAAAAAGUUCUUUAGACAUGUUUUGUAGCCUCCUCUUCAUCCUUACGCCAUCUUCUUUCCAUCAACUCUGCUGGUUGCACUCACCCUAAAGUAAAUGAGUAGAUCCUAUGCAUAAGUUGAAGUUGCGGAGAUGGUAUGCGAAGAUGCUGUCAUUCACAUUCCAGGAGUAUUACCUUGUGCCAGAGUUCAAAGAUUGGGAGACCAAUUUUUGUUUGCAAUGAGCUUUAUUGGCACAAAGUGC